AAUAAGAUCAUUUUUAAGUUUUUUGAUAUAAUAUUUUGACUUUUUGUCUUAUUUGAAUUUUUUUACGAUUAAUAUUUUUAUUUUUACUAGAUGAUAAAACAUGAAUAAUACUUUAUGUGUUAUUAAUUUUUAAAGUUUUUUAUAAAUUUUUUAAAUAAGACGAGUGGUCAACGUUGGAUACGGGAAAAC
rnacentral:pre_miRNA from 1 species